AGAGUUUGAUCCUGGCUCAGGAUGAACGCUGGCGGCGUGCUUAACACAUGCAAGUCGAACGGUGAAAGUGGGAGCUUGCUCCUGCUGGAUCAGUGGCGAACGGGUGAGUAACACGUGAGCAAUCUGCCCCGAACUCUGGGAUAAGCGUUGGAAACGACGUCUAAUACCGGAUACGAGACGCGAAGGCAUCUUCAGCGUCUGGAAAGAAUUUCGGUUCGGGAUGAGCUCGCGGCCUAUCAGCUGGUUGGUGAGGUAAUGGCUCACCAAGGCGACGACGGGUAGCCGGCCUGAGAGGGUGACCGGCCACACUGGGACUGAGACACGGCCCAGACUCCUACGGGAGGCAGCAGUGGGGAAUAUUGCACAAUGGGCGCAAGCCUGAUGCAGCAACGCCGCGUGAGGGACGACGGCCUUCGGGUUGUAAACCUCUUUUAGUAGGGAAGAAGCGAAAGUGACGGUACCUGCAGAAAAAGCACCGGCUAACUACGUGCCAGCAGCCGCGGUAAUACGUAGGGUGCAAGCGUUAUCCGGAAUUAUUGGGCGUAAAGAGCUCGUAGGCGGUUUGUCGCGUCUGCUGUGAAAACUGGAGGCUCAACCUCCAGCCUGCAGUGGGUACGGGCAGACUAGAGUGCGGUAGGGGAGAUUGGAAUUCCUGGUGUAGCGGUGGAAUGCGCAGAUAUCAGGAGGAACACCGAUGGCGAAGGCAGAUCUCUGGGCCGUAACUGACGCUGAGGAGCGAAAGCGUGGGGAGCGAACAGGAUUAGAUACCCUGGUAGUCCACGCCGUAAACGUUGGGCGCUAGAUGUGGGGACCAUUCCACGGUUUCCGUGUCGCAGCUAACGCAUUAAGCGCCCCGCCUGGGGAGUACGGCCGCAAGGCUAAAACUCAAAGGAAUUGACGGGGGCCCGCACAAGCGGCGGAGCAUGCGGAUUAAUUCGAUGCAACGCGAAGAACCUUACCAAGGCUUGACAUAUACGAGAACGCUGCAGAAAUGUAGAACUCUUUGGACACUCGUAUACAGGUGGUGCAUGGUUGUCGUCAGCUCGUGUCGUGAGAUGUUGGGUUAAGUCCCGCAACGAGCGCAACCCUCGUUCUAUGUUGCCAGCACGUAAUGGUGGGAACUCAUAGGAGACUGCCGGGGUCAACUCGGAGGAAGGUGGGGAUGACGUCAAAUCAUCAUGCCCCUUAUGUCUUGGGCUUCACGCAUGCUACAAUGGCCGGCACAAAGCGUCGCAAGACCGCAAGGUGGAGCUAAUCGCACGAAGCCGGUCUCAGUUCGGAUUGAGGUCUGCAACUCGACCUCAUGAAGUC
rnacentral:rRNA from 1 species